rnacentral:rRNA from 1 species
UGAUCCAGCCAUGCCGCGUGUGUGAAGAAGGCCUUCGGGUUGUAAAGCACUUUCAGUGGGGAAGAAGGCAUGCCGAUUAAUACCCGGCAUGAAGGACAUCACCCACAGAAGAAGCACCGGCUAACUCCGUGCCAGCAGCCGCGGUAAUACGGAGGGUGCAAGCGUUAAUCGGAAUUACUGGGCGUAAAGGGCGCGUAGGCGGCUUGCCAAGCCGGAUGUGAAAGCCCCGGGCUCAACCCGGGAACGGCAUUCGGAACUGGCAGGCUAGAGUGCAGGAGAGGAAGGUGGAAUUCCCGGUGUAGCGGUGAAAUGCGUAGAGAUCGGGAGGAAUACCAGUGGCGAAGGCGGCCUUCUGGACUGACACUGACGCUGAGGCGCGAAAGCGUGGGUAGCAAACAGGAUUAGAUACCCUGGUAGUCCACGCCGUAAACGAUGUCGACCAGCCGUUGGACCCCUUGAGGGUUUGGUGGCGUAGUUAACGCAAUAAGUCGACCGCCUGGGGAGUACGGCCGCAAGGCUAAAACUCAAAUGAAUUGACGGGGGCCCGCACAAGCGGUGGAGCAUGUGGUUUAAUUCGAUGCAACGCGAAGAACCUUACCUGCUCUUGACAUCCUGCGAAUCUCCCAGAGAUGGGAGAGUGCCUUCGGGAGCGCAGAGACAGGUGCU